ensembl:snoRNA SNORA62 Small nucleolar RNA SNORA62/SNORA6 family
CUUGUUUUUAAAAAAGGAAAAGAUUGGCACAUGAACUCUCAAGUAUAGGGAGUGCAUCAUGUGUGAGGCAGGCUUUUCACCACCAGCAAGAGGGCCCUGGCCCAGUGAAUGCAGUUGGUUAGUGAUCCUUGACACAAGU